UCUCCAUGGAGAUCAGGUUGCUCCAAGCCCAUCCAACGUCCUUCCAGUGCUGUUCUACCAACCCACAACUGGAAUUCCCCUCUUUAUCUGUUGGAAAAUUGCUCAUUCCAAGUGCAAGGAUUAUAAUUCCCCUCUUCAGGCAGAGUUUUCCCUCAAACCAUUGGAUUCUGGGCACCAAUGUUGAAAAACUUGGAUCUGCUGUGGAUUUCUUCCAGCUUUGGGGUGACCUCACUGUGUUUUUCCAAGACCUGAAGGAGGCGACAGGAAAGAUGGAGAGGGAAUAUUUCCAAGGAAUUGUCCAAGGCCAGCUUGGAACAACCUGGGAUAGUGGAAGCUGUUCCUGCCCAUGGAAUGGGAUGAUUACAUUCCCUUCCAUCCCAACUCAUUCCAUGAUUCCACGACCUUGGAGCUGGACCCCCUUGCACAGAAUGCAAACACCGGGAAUGUGCUAAGCUAUUCCAGAGGAGAUGACACACGCACCCCAAAUCCCCCUUCCCAGGUGGAAAUUCCUCAUUAUCUCCUGGUUGGAUUUGCAAAUCUGGAAAAAAAACAAACAAGGAAUAUCGGAAAGGACGAAAGUCUCCAGCGUGAGGAGCAGUGCCAGGAAUUCCUUCCUUCCGAAGGCCGUUGUGGAUGCAAACCACCGGCAGCAGCUCAUUCCUAGCAAUAACAGCUAUGUCAUAUUUCCUGGAACACGGGCAGUGCGGAAUAUCAUUGGAAAAGGAAAAUAAACACGGCUUCGCUCCGUGAAUCACCGGCCAUAAAUUCUCACCGAGGAAAAAAAACAACUCACACAACUGAGGGAGCCUUCAGGCAGCAGCAGAAGGGUUUGCUGAUCCCUCGGUGAUGUCCCACUGGAGUUAAUAUCCCGCUUUUCCAAGCUGGGACAAAGCUACGGCUGGAUAAAACAAAGACAAACCACAUCCUCCUCCGCUUUCUGAAGUGGGAUGAAGUCCGACAUUCAAUCUGUUUUUUCUGGGUUUAAAACUCACUUUAAUGGGUCCUUUUUCUUUUUCUCCCUCUUUUUUUAUUUUUUUCCCCCUUUUUUUUAAGGUUGCUUGCCUUGGAAGGGAGAUGGCAACUCCCCCAAAAUCCCAUAAAGGUGCUGCUCCUGGUGGCCAAAAAUUCCAUUAAUUUCUUCUAAAAAUAUUAAGGAUCGAGUCUCAAUGGGUGAAAAUAAACUGAGCCCAGAAGAAGCUCUGCUGAGCUCUGUUCCCAAAGCCUCCAAACACACAGGGAGCAGCAUCCCCAAAUUCCUGUGGGAUUCAGGGAAGAAAUACGGAGUGGUUUGGGUUGGAAGGGAUCUUAAAGAUCAACUCAUUCCUAUCCCCAGGACAGGAACGCAGCUGGAAGCAAGAGUUGGGAAUUUGGCUUGACUCUCAUGUUCUGCAUUAGAAAUAACCAUGGAAUUAUGGAAUAUCCUGAGUGACCCACAAGGAUAAUCCAGUGCAGCUCCCAGUCCGGCACAGACACCCCAACAAUCCCACCCUGUGCAUCCCCGGGACUGGUGUCCAAACAUUCCUGGAGCCUGGGCAGUGCCCAGCACCCUCUGGAUGAGGAAUCUUUUCCUAAAUCCAACCUAAACCUCCCCUGGAACAGCUCCAUAAAUUUGGGGGAAGUCUUUUCUUAAAUCAUUCCAAAACUGUAAGACCCCCAAGGAGGUUUUCAUCCUGAUGGAAGGUGGAACCUGUCCAAGGUGGGAAUUUUUCUGGAGCAGCACAAGGAUUAUUCUGGUUGUCCAAUUUGGCCUUGGAUUCAUUCUGCUCAAGUCAGGACAAACCUGGAGAAUUAUCCAGGGAAUUACAUCCCUAAAACUCUCACCUGGUCCUGGUGUAGACGAAUAAAGAAAAAAUCCUCACAAUGAGGAAUUUCCCAAAGAAACUUCUACCUGGAGGGAUUUUUGGGAAUAUCCCUGCAAGUUAGACCUCGGUGUCUUUAUCCAA